CCUACGGGAGGCAGCAGUGGGGAAUAUUGCGCAAUGGGCGAAAGCCUGACGCAGCGACGCCGCGUGAGGGAUGAAGGUCUUCGGAUUGUAAACCUCUGUUAGCAGGGAAGAACGGUCACUGUGCUAAUCAGCAGUGAAUUGACGGUACCUGCAAAGGAAGCACCGGCUAACUCCGUGCCAGCAGCCGCGGUAAUACGGAGGGUGCGAGCGUUAAUCGGAAUUUCUGGGCGUAAAGCGGUCGUAGGAGGUAUGUCAAGUCAAGGGUGAAAUCCCCGCGCUCAACGUGGGAACUGCCUUUGAAACUGGCAAACUGGAGUGUGUGAGAGGAUAGUGGAAUUCCAGGUGUAGGAGUGAAAUCCGUAGAUAUCUGGAGGAACAUCAGUGGCGAAGGCGACUAUCUGGCACAUAACUGACGCUGAGGAGCGAAAGCGUGGGUAGCAAACAGGAUUAGAUACCCUAGUAGUC
rnacentral:rRNA from 1 species